AAUUACCCAGCUCGGAGCACCUGGCCAGUGGGACCGGUGGGUUCCUGGUGCCUGAAUCCGGCUGUCCGCUCUGCGGUGCCCCGCCCCCGCCCCCCGCCCCAACCCAGGAUCUUCCCAGCCCUCGUGUGUCCCCGCUCACUUCAGUUCCCGCCGCGCGCCUUCUUCUUGGUCUUCUGGCCUGGCGGCGAUCGUCGGCCAGUUUAUCCCUCGGAGUUGCGCUGGCAGACACGCCGCUACUUUGUAGCGGGUUUCGGGCGGGCCACGCGUGCGGCGACAGGAACCCAACCCCGGCCGACCUUGGGCUCCAGGAAUUCGUUGUCUACGUCUGCGGAGGUGCGGCAGCCUCAGUUUUAAGCGCAGCGUGGGACACAGGGUAGAAGGCAGAGGUACAGAAUACCACAGGACAUGUCAGAACGUGGGCGUGAAACGGGCCCAAGGGACCACGGGUGAAGGUCUAGGACUCUUCCGGCAGCCUGAGCGCCAGCAG
rnacentral:sRNA from 1 species